CACACACAUCAGAAGCAAAUGGUAGCCCACCAUACAGACUGCUCUGGACCGUGCUCUUUUGAAAUAAUGUGUCCCACAGAGAAGAAGCCCAUUCCUUUUAUUGGAAGCAGCUGCAGAGUAUUCCAUGGGUGGGUGCAUCAAGGAACCGGACCUUCCCGUCGACGAUGAGAUGAUAAUGUUGAGGUGCCCGGAGACGUUUGACGAUGAAGAUCUGUGAUACGGGAGGGCUGGAAGCAGGAGGGGAUGGAGGAGGCUGGUGGUCUCCGGCUUUGAGUUCUGGCAGCCCAAGUUGCCCCUGCCUUGGCGUUUUGGAGUGGGCUGCCCUGAAAGCAUUUUGAUGGUUGUAGUUUCUGGUUGUUAUAAAGUAUUUAAGAAUA